rnacentral:rRNA from 1 species
UACGGAGGGUGCAAGCGUUAUCCGGAAUCACUGGGGUUAAAGGGUGCGUAGGCGGCUAGAUAAGUCAGAGGUGAAAGUUUGUCGCUUAACGAUAGAACUGCCUUUGAUACUGUUAAGCUUGAAAGUAGGUGAGGUUGGCGGAAUGUGACAUGUAGCGGUGAAAUGCAUAGAUAUGUCAUAGAACACCGAUUGCGAAGGCAGCCGGCUCACCUGACUUUGACGCUGAUGCACGAUAGCGUGGGCAUCGAACAGG